rnacentral:rRNA from 1 species
GAUGAACGCUGGCGGCGUGCUUAACACAUGCAAGUCGAACGGAAAGGCCGAAGCUUGCUUCGGUACUCGAGUGGCGAACGGGUGAGUAACACGUGGGUGAUCUGCCCUGUACUUCGGGAUAAGCUUGGGAAACUGGGUCUAAUACCGGAUAUGACGAUCUCUUGGAUGGGGUUGUGGAAAGCUUUUGCGGUAUGGGAUGAGCUCGCGGCCUAUCAGCUUGUUGGUGGGGUAAUGGCCUACCAAGGCGUCGACGGGUAGCCGGCCUGAGAGGGUGUACGGCCGCAUUGGGCUUGUGCUCCGGCCCCGACUCCGCCGGGGGGCAGUAAGGGGGAAGAUUGCACAAUGGGCGCAAGCCUGAUGCAGCGACGCCGCGUGGGGGAUGACGGCCUUCGGGUUGUAAACUCCUUUCGCAAUCGACGAAGCCUUUUGGUGACGGUAGGUGGAGAAGAAGCACCGGCUAACUACGUG